GCUCAGUGGGGUGUGCUUCUGGUUUGUCCCGCGCCCCCUUCCUCUUGGUCCUCCCCCGCUUCUCACACCCGCGAUGCUGCCGCAGCUCAACGAGCCGCCCUCCCGGUCUGCUGCCGACUGUCUUGAUUGGUUACUGGGGGAGCUGGAGACGGUGAUGGAGAGUCGCCACGAGGCGGAUGAUCGCUUCGACUGGCUGCGGGCCUCGAUUUACUACCUACGGACUGCUAUCGCGACGCCCCGUCAGCGCGGUGUCCCGCAUGUCUCCGAUCGGUGGCCGCGGUCGGCCCCGCCUGGCCCGUCUGAGCCUGCUCCAGAAUUUAGCUCUGCGGCGCCGGCCCCCUCCGGCUCGACGGUCCCUCGGUCUGGGCCGUCCGCGCCUCGCGGACUGACCCCCCGCUCCGUGGACUCUGUGUUGCGGGUGUCGCGGCCCCCUCCGCGCCGGCGCGGGACUUCUUCCGUCUCCGGGGCUGUGCGGCGCCACGUGACUCCCUCUGGUCCGGAGCGUCGCGGCGAGGCGCACCUGCGGCUCGCGUCGUCCCCCGCUGGUCCCGAGUCGCGGGCCCCUUCGCGGCGAGCGGCGUCCCCUGAAAGGCGCGACGCGUCCCCCGUCCGGCGCUUCCGCGCUGUGUGCCGUGGCAGCGCCUCCUCUUCCGCGUCCUCCGCUCGCCCUGUGUGGCGCUGAAUAAAUUAAAGUUUUCUGA